rnacentral:misc_RNA from 1 species
AUUACGCAUGCGUAAACAUUUUUCCAGGUCUGCGGUUUUAGUACGAUCGAAAUUGAACUUUAGAACGACAGGAUAUAGCACUAACCAAAGGGAGUUUCAUUCCAAUUUUUUAACAUGUCAUAAUGUUAAAAACUCUUUAAUUAAAAUACGGGUGUUUACAAAUGAUGCAGAAGUUGUAUUUCCAAAACGUCACAUUAAAACUCGCUUGAAAAAUAAUUUAAAAACAUCAUCUCAAAAUAGAAUUCAUGAAGAAUUUUUGACUUAUGAAAUUUACUCAACAAAUGCUUAUCAUGUUUUAGAUUUAAAAAAAAUCAAAAAAAUACCUCAAGAAAGUAUUUUGCUUCGUACUAUUAAAAACAACAAAGAAAUUAUAUUUAAGCAUUAUCUUCAAAAUUGUUUUUAUGAAGGAAGAGUUCGCGGACACGAAGAUUCCCAUGUAUUCAUCAGUACUUGUAGUGGAGGAUUACUAGGAACAAUUAAAGAUAAUAAAACACUAUACAGUAUAAUGCCUCAGCUUGAUCAAAAUGGACAUUAUUUUCGCAAGAUAAGAGAUGUAAUUCAAGAUAGUUCAGUUCAGAAAAAUAACAUAAAAGAUAAGUGGCAUGCAAAGUCAAAAAGAUCGGUUGGUUUGGUAGAAUUAGUUGAUAUUGAGCCUAAAUACCUUCAUUAUCUUUCAAGAAACAAAACACUAUAUGUAGAGUUGUUUGUUAGCUGUGAUCACAGAAUGCUACCAAUGUACAACAACAAUCAUACUGUUUUAAUUGAGAGAGUCUUAAAUAUCAUUGCUCAAUCUGACAUGAUUUAUCAAGCUAUUAAUGUGCGUUUAGUUGUUGUUGCAAUUGAAAUUCAAGAAAACAAAGAUUAUUUUAAUCGUGGUACAAAUUCAUAUGAAGAUCUUCUUAGUUUUAAUGCUUAUUUUAAUCAAACAAUAAAAAACAAUUCAUCUCUUAAAGUUAUGAAUUUAGAUGGUGGCAUUUUUUUCAGUCAUAUAAAAUAUGUAGACAAAGGAAAUUCAUUUCCAUCUUUUUGUGAAGAUUAUUCUAGUUUAGUUCAUGAGUGGGAUUAUGAAGAAUUUGAUAUUAAAGUAAUGAACUAUUUGUUUGGAUAUCAAAUGGGAUUUAAAAAUGAGGAUGAAAAAACAGAUUGCAUGUGUUUAACUGCUAAGGGAUGUGUUAUGCAAGAAGUCAAAUCUCGAGGAACAGGCUUUUCAAACUGCAAUAUAGAUGUUUUAAAUAAUAAUGCAUAUGAAUGCCUUGCAAACUACCCUUCUACUCAAUUUGGAAAAAUUUGUGGCAAUGGAAUUCGUGAGGAUGAUGAACAAUGUGAUUGUGGUACUUUAGAGAUGUGUCGAAGAAAUGAAGAUCAUUGCUGUGAACCAGAAAGUUGUGUUUUAAAAGUCGAUGCACAAUGCAGUCACAUAAUCAAUCCUGACUGCUGUCAGUCAAAUUGUCAUUUCAAAAGACAAGGCACUUUAUGCAGAGACAAAGUCAAUGAGUGUGACAUAGCCGAGUACUGCAGUGGAGACAAUGAAACUUGUCCAGAUGACAAAAUACUUCGUGAUGGAACUUCUUGCCAAUCUAAUAUUUGGUUUCUUGAACAGCAUGUUAAACAGGAAUUGCCAAAAACAGUUUGCAGAAAUAAAGAAUGCAAUUUCAAUGCAGCCAUUGAAAUUUUUUACAAGCCAUGUCUAGAAACAGACGGAAAGGAAUGUUCAGGAAAUGGGUUUUGCGCAUCAGAUCUCACUUGUGUUUGCAAGAAUUUUUUCAACUUAACUGACAACUGUAGUACAAAACUUAAUCCCAUUAACGGUGAAUGGAGCAGUUGGUCCUAUACAAAGUAUUGGACCAAGAGUUGUUUUGAAGGCAGCCAAAAAAGAUAUCGUUUUUGUUCUAAUCCUGCACCUCAGAAUGGUGGUAUGGAAUGUGCUGGUAAUUCUCGUGAAGAAAUAGUUUGUACAGAAAAUCAUUGCCCUGAUAUAGUAGCAUGGUGUAAAUCUGAUGCAAGAUGUAUUAAAGAUAUGUUAGAAAGCGGUUUAAAAGCUGACAUCACUGAAACAUUAACUUCAAUUAAUGAAUCAUUCUAUUUAACCUAUGAAGAAAAGAUUGAUAUUGUUGCUACCAAGAUAACAGACAGAAUUUAUUUAAAUUCUAUCCGCGAUGUAUCCCUUUUAGCAGAUAUUCUUGCACAAGGUCAAUCGAUAAAGGUAUUGGGAAAUGUUUUGGGCUUGGUUAAUAUAGUUUUAGAUCUUGAUCAAGCAUUAAUUUUAAAAGCACAAAAUGAACACAAUUCUUCUAACAAGUUUUUGGAAACAAUUGACAUAAUGGCACAGACAUAUUCUAAGAAUUAUCUGUUUCAAACUUUUGUUUCAACAAAUAUAGGAAUGAGUAAUAACAAAGCUCCUCAUACAGAUAUUUAUAUAGUGGCAUUUGAAAACUCAAAUAAAGAUAUGGUUGUAUUUAUAGAUAACAAUUUCUUUUUAAACGAAGGAAACAACGAUGCAGUUAUAAUGAUUCCGAAGGCAGCCAUUUCUCAGCAUAGCCUUAUGUAUGCCUUCAUUUAUCGAAAUCCAUACUUUUUUCUUAAUACAAACGGAUUUGUAUCCUUAUCUGAUUCUAGAUCAGUGGGAGCAUUAAUUUCAAGUGCUGUUGUUUCAGUUAGUAUUCUUAAUCAGACUAUUAAUAACUUAAGUGAACCAAUUUCUAUUACAUUUAAAAAACCAAGAAAUCAAAAAGGAAAUUUUAAUUGUUACUUUUGGAACUCAAGUAUUAAUGCAUGGUCAAACAAUGGAUGUUACAAGUUUAAUGAAUCAAAUGCAUAUGUAUUUUGUAUGUGCAACCAUCUCACAAAUUUUGCACUUAUUUUGGAUACCUCUCAAAUUGGAUACAAUCCUUUAGAAUUAAAAGUUAUAACUUGGAUUGGAUGUGGUAUUUCCAUAGUAACUUUACUGUUAACAGUUUUAAUACUGUUACGAAGGAAUCUUCGAAAAGAUCGCACUCAUAAAAUUCAUUUCUUUAUGUGUGUAUCUUUACUUACUCUGCUAAUAUUAUUCAUUACUGCUGCAGAACGAAGGAAAUCUUCUUUAAUUAAAUGCAAAAUUGUUGCUGCUGGUUUGCAUUACUUUGUCUUGACCACAUUUUGUUGGAUGGCUGUUGAAGGAGUAAACCUAUAUCAAAAAAUUACUGUAAUGAGUAAACUGGAAACUAGAUCUUUUAUGGUUAAGUCUUCGUUAUUUGCAUGGGGUGUGCCUUUACCCAUUGUUAUCUACAUUGGCGUUGUUCAUUCUAAAUAUCUUGGUAACUCUAAAAUUUGCACAGUUCAAGGUUAUCCAUUUUACAUUGGAAUGUUGCUACCUGUAACUUGCAUUAUUGUUGUUAAUUUGUUUGUUCUUUUACUUGUAAUUAUAAAGAUAUCUAAACCGAAACUUGAUCUUUCUGCAAAUUUUAAAGAUGAAGGAGCAUUUAUUCGAUUCAAAAAAGAUGUUAAAACUGUAUUUAUUUUAAGCUGCUUACUAGGAACUACUUGGGUGUUUGCUGUGCUUGCAAUAGACAUCUUUUUACUAAACAUCACACCAAAUCACAUUUGGCUUGUUUCGAGAAGUACAUAUUAUGGAUUGAUUUGCAUUAAAAUGAAAAUUAUAUAUUGUGUUUCAAUGGAUUUUUUGCAUCACGACCAGUUUUCAAGGGUUUUUUCUAUUUUUGCAUCAAAUUGCUCUCAAUCCAAUGGCCCAAAAUGAAAUACGUUUUUGCAUGCAUCGUUUUUUCAGUUCAUCUAUAGCAAAAAAAAAGAAAGACAAUUCAACAGCCAUGACACUUUUGGCAUCAAAAGAUUAAAAUAUUCAAUAUAAAAUUGUAAACCUUAACCACU